AUGUUGUGUUUUACCAUGUAACUAAUAUCAUCAAUUAUAAUGGGCAUAAUUAGUCAGGAAUUCAAUUUUACAGAAUACCUGGAACUGAUUGCAGUUGUCAACAGCCCGAAACGAGUUGUAUUCCUGGUGCAUUUCAGAACAGCGUUAAUGGGGUGACAUGCCAUUCCCAUCCACAGCCAGGUGGCGCCACUCACAUACAUCCCACCCAUCAGCAGUUUGCCAACCAGACAACAUCAGCAGAUCAUCUGCGCGCUGGCACGAGCUGUCUAUCCAGCAAUGAGAGCGACUUUGGCAGAUUUGGCGUGCCAUACCUGCAGGGCACCAACGGGGAAAUUGACGUGCGGGUGCAGAUUGCGUCUGCGGAUACAAUAAACGAGUUUGGUGUUAUCGGGCAGCGUUAUGAGCCGGACAUGGGCUGCGAGAAUGCGCACUACUUCGACACGAACAGACUGUUAUUUGAGGCCCACCAACAACGGCAGCACAGGCGGAAAGAUAUCAGCAUGUAAGCAUACGAUUUAUGAACGUCCCGUUUGCAUCAGCAUUCACUAUAGCAGUCAGCAGUGCGCGGAUUUCUCCAGGAAAGAACCUUACAGCUCUGAGUAUUCAUGUUAGUAUUGUCCUCUGUUGAUCAUACUGUAGGCAAAACAGCUAUAACCAUAAACAGAGUGCAUUGUUGUUGCAUUUUAUCAUAUUCA